GUUCUGUCACAACGGCUUCCUGACGUGGCAGGUUUAAUUUAAUGGAGCA
rfam:Loktanella sp. S4079 contig0002, whole genome shotgun sequence.